CUGAGGUUGUGUUGGCAGCCACUGAGGUUGUGUUGGCAGCCACUGAGGUUGUGUUGGCAGCCACUGAGGUUGUGUUGGCAGCCACUGAGGUUGUGUUGGCAGCCACUGAGGUUGUGUUGGCAGCCACUGAGGUUGUGUUGGCAGCCACUGAGGUUGUGUUGGCAGCCACUGAGGUUGUGUUGGCAACCACUGAGGUUGUGUUGGCACUGAGAAAUAUUUGGGUGUACGAGAUUUGACCUCAGAAGAGUUACAGGGUGUGUUGAGUGUUGGUGUCCCGUCCUUUCAGGAUGUUGGCCUGAGGUCGGACUAGAUAGGUUUAAAUAGUGGAGUAGGGUGGUGUGUUUUAAAUGAGUGUACGGGUAGAUGGUAUUUGUUGAUUCAUUUUGACUUUUUUUUCAAGCAAAGUACAAGGUAGUUAUACUCCAGCCUAGUAGGGGGCAGUAAUGCCACAUUUAUUGGAUGCCAACUGCCAUUAAAGCUCAUGGAAGAAGUCUUCCCUUGUUAGUAGGAGCAAGCUGACAGCCUGGAUAGCUGCCUUUAGCCUGAUCUGCAGACAGUGAGUAUAGACCUAAUACAACCAUAACACAUCGUUAAUAUAACCAUAACACAACCAUAAUGCAACCGAACCGUACUGCACAUGAUCUACAAACAGUGAGUAUAGACCUAAUACAACCAUAACACAACAUUAACACAACCGUAACACACUGUUUAUAUGGCACAACGUUAAUACAACCAUAACACAACAUUAA